ACAGAUGAAAUUUCGGUUCAGGACCUAC
rnacentral:sRNA from 1 species